UAGGUAGCUUAACCUUCGGGAGGGCGCUUACCACUUUGUGAUUCAUGACUGGGGUGAAGUCGUAACAAGGUAACCGUAGGGGAACCUGCGGUUGGAUCACCUCCUUACCUUAAAGAA
rnacentral:rRNA from 50 species